GCAAUAGGGAACUGAGGGCCCCCCGUCAGUUGGAUUUUUACCCGCAGGCCCCUGGGGCAUCAGGCCCUUGAUUUCCCCCGGGCACCGGGGGUCUCCCGUGCCACACCUGAUAGGUUUACACUUUGUCUCCUGGCAGCAGGUGUGCACUGGGGCUAUGAGGAAACCAAGACUUUCCUUGGCAUCCUGGGCGAGGCCCCGUUCUCCGAGAAGCUCCGGACCUGUCACCAAAAACAGCCAGGGUGUACCGGGCCAUAGCGGAGCGGCUGCGGGCUCACGGCUUCCUCCGGACGCUGGAGCAGUGCCGCUACAGGUUCAAAAACCUCCUGAGGAGCUACCGGAAGGCUAAGAGCAGCCACCCCCCGGGGACCUGCCCCUUCUACGAGGAGCUGGACGCCCUGUGAGGGCCCGGGUCGGGUGAAGGCAGCCGACGCCUGGAGAGUUCUCGUAUCUCCCCGGCCGGGGGGAGCAACGCCGAGGGCGAAGACCAGGAGCAGGCAGGCUGGGAAGGCGAGGAAGCCGGGCAGGAGGCCGUCGCAGACGAGAAUGACGACGAACCGGGCAUCGAGGCACCGAUUCAGCACCUUGAGAACCCCGAAGCCCCAGCCCUCUUCCAGAGCCACAGCGGUUUCUGAGAUCCAGAGCGAGAACGAGGAGCAGAAUCUGGACCGGGAAACAUCUGAGGAAGCGGUCCUGCCUCGGGCCCUUAUUAGAAAACUCCAAAGACGGUGUUUUCCCAGGUCCUCUCCUGGAGAAAGACUGCCGAGGACGAAUGCGAGUUAGAACCACCACUGGCAGGUUUCCCCGGAGAGACGGUGGGGGAAAGCCACCCUCGAAGAGGGCUUAGGGGAAACUCAUAGACCAGCAGGGACUCUACCUGGUGGUCGACCAAACCCUAUAAAUGUGGGGAGUGCGUGAAGAGCUUUAGCCGAGCUCCCAUUUCAUCGCCCACCAAAGAAUCCACACGGGGGAGAAAACCCUAUAAAUGGCUUAGAAUUGUGGGGAAAAGCUUCAGUGAUCCGCUCGAACCUUCAAUACCCACCAGAGGAUCCACACGGGAGAGAAGCCCUACAAAUGUCUCGAGUGUGGGGAAGAGCUUCAGCGACCACUCGAAUCUCGUGGGCGCACCAGAGGAUUCCCACACGGCCGAGGAAAACCGUACACAAA
rnacentral:lncRNA from 1 species